rnacentral:rRNA from 1 species
UACAGAGGUCCCAAGCGUUGUUCGGAUUCAUUGGGCGUAAAGGGUGCGUAGGCGGCGCGGUAAGUCGGGUGUGAAAUCUCGGAGCUUAACUCCGAAACUGCAUUCGAUACUGCCGUGCUUGAGGACUGGAGAGGAGACUGGAAUUUACGGUGUAGCGGUGAAACGCGUAGAUAUCGUAAGGAAGACCAGUGGCGAAGGCGGGUCUCUGGACAGUUCCUGACGCUGAGGCACGAAGGCCAGGGGAGCAAACGGG